rnacentral:rRNA from 1 species
AACGCUGGCGGCAGGCCUAACACAUGCAAGUCGAGCGAACCCUUCGGGGUUAGCGGCGGACGGGUUAGUAACGCGUGGGAAUAUACCCUUUGGUACGGAAUAGCCUCGGGAAACUGAGAGUAAUACCGUAUGUGCCCUUCGGGGGAAAGAUUUAUCGCCAAAGGAUUAGCCCGCGUUGGAUUAGAUAGUUGGUGGGGUAAUGGCCUACCAAGUCUACGAUCCAUAGCUGGUUUGAGAGGAUGAUCAGCAACACUGGGACUGAGACACGGCCCAGACUCCUACGGGAGGCAGCAGUGGGGAAUCUUAGACAAUGGGCGCAAGCCUGAUCUAGCCAUGCCGCGUGGACGACGAAGGCCUUAGGGUUGUAAAGUCCUUUCAGAUGGGAAGAUAAUGACGGUACCAUCAGAAGAAGCCCCGGCUAACUCCGUG